UGAAAAUGGCGGUGUACCUAAUGGAGUGUCCUUAUCUUUUGGAAGCUGUACAACAGCGACACUAUGUUUCAAAGCAACCAAAAUAUAAUCAAAUUGAAAUGAAAUACUAAUUGAAUGA